AUUGAACGCUGGCGGCAUGCUUUACACAUGCAAGUCGAACGGUAACAGGCCGCAAGGUGCUGACGAGUGGCGAACGGGUGAGUAAUGCAUCGGAACGUGCCCAGUCGUGGGGGAUAACGCAGCGAAAGCUGUGCUAAUACCGCAUACGAUCUAUGGAUGAAAGCGGGGGACCGUAAGGCCUCGCGCGAUUGGAGCGGCCGAUGUCAGAUUAGGUAGUUGGUGGGGUAAAGGCCUACCAAGCCGACGAUCUGUAGCUGGUCUGAGAGGACGACCAGCCACACUGGGACGGAGACACGGCCCAGACUCCUACGGGAGGCAGCAGUGGGGAAUUUUGGACAAUGGGCGCAAGCCUGAUCCAGCAAUGCCGCGUGCAGGAAGAAGGCCUUCGGGUUGUAAACUGCUUUUGUACGGAACGAAACGGUCUGGGUUAAUACCCUGGGCUAAUGACGGUACCGUAAGAAUAAGCACCGGCUAACUACGUGCCAGCAGCCGCAGUAAUAC
rnacentral:rRNA from 1 species